rnacentral:misc_RNA from 1 species
AGAGAGAGGCAACCACCCUUUCAAUGAAAAAUCCUCAAACUCACUGUUAGCCUCAUUCUUUUCCUUCUAAGCUUUUGUUUAUAGUACCCUGAAGCUGUUAAGAAUACUCCCUCAGUUAAAAUUAACAAAGAGACCGCUAAAUUGAGGCUCAGAUCUGUUUUAAGAUCAAGCAAAAAAGAGAGUCAACCACGCCAUGGCUGCAUAAACCAGCAUGCCCCACCAAGAUACGGGUUGGAUAACCUUAAAUGCUCAAUUAAUCAGCUUAGAAGGGAAUAAUAUUGACAGAGCUCAUCAUCGCCUCUUUCAAACCGUUUGAUUAUACUCACCAUAGCUUCCACCAGUUCCACCGGCAACAUUCAAUGCUCCGGCAGAAGCAUUAAAAAG